UGACACAGGGAGGUAGUGACAAUAAAUAUCAGGGGUAGACUUAUGUUUACCUUUUGAAAUGAGAACAAUUUAAAUCCCUUAUCGAGGAUCAAUUGGAGGGCAAGUCUGGUGCCAGCAGCCGCGGUAAUUCCAGCUCCAAUAGCGUAUAUUAAAGUUGUUGCGGUUAAAAAGCUCGUAGUUGGAUUUCUGUUGAAGUCAGCCGGUGCACACUUCGUGUGUUAUUUGGCCUGGCUUUGGCAUCCUCUGGGGGAACGUCUCUGGCCUUAAUUGGACAGGGCGAGAUUCCAGACUUUUACUUUGAGGAAAUUAGAGUGUUCACAGCAGGCAAGUGCUUUGAAUACAUUAGCAUGGAAUAAUAAUAUAGGACCUUCGUUCUAUUUUGUUGGUUUCUAGAGCUAAGGUAAUGAUUAAUAGGGACAAUUGGGGGCAUUACUAUCAAUGCGUCAGAGGUGGAAUUCUUGGAUUGCAUUGCGAGUAACUACUGCGAAAGCAUUUGCCAAGGAUGUUUUCAUUGAUCAAGAACGAAAGUAUGGGGAUCGAAGAUGAUUAGAUACCGUCGUAGUCUAUACCAUAAACUAUGCCGACUAGGGAUUGGAGGUCGUUCUUUUUAUGACUCCUUCAGCACCUUAUGAGAAAUCAAAGUCUUUGGGUUCCGGGGGGAGUAUAGUCGCAAGGCUGAAACUUAAAGGAAUUGACGGAAGGGCACCACCAGGAGUGGAGCCUG
rnacentral:rRNA from 1 species